UCUUACACACAGCUAUCUCACACACACCUGUCUUACACACAGCUCUCACACACACCUGUCUUACACACAGCUAUCUCACACACACCUCUCACACACACCUGUCUCUCACACACACCUGUCUCUCACACACACCUGUCUCUCACACACACCUGUCUCACACACACCUGUCUCACACACACCUGCGGACUGUAGGGCCUGAGUUAGAGCAUGGACCAGAAGAAGCUCAUAAAAAUAUAAUUCUUAAUAAAGUAGGGCUGAGGGGGACGCAACUAAAGGGUUAAAUAAGAUUCUCUCUCUUAGCUUCCUCUAUAUAGUAACCUGAAGGUAGUGGACAGGACAGCAGCUUCCUCUAUAUAGUAACCUGAAGGUAGUGGACAGGACAGCAGCUUCCUCUAUAUAGUAUCCUGAAGACAGUGGACAGGACAGCAGCUUCCUCUAUAUAGUAACCUGAAGGUAGU
ensembl:lncRNA